AUACGUAGGUGGCAAGCGUUGUCCGGAUUUACUGGGUGUAAAGGGCGCGUAGGCGGGGCGACAAGUCCGAUGUGAAAUCCCGCGGCUCAACCGCGGAACCGCAACGGAAACUGUCGUCCUUGAGUACCGGAGGGGAAAGCGGAAUUCCUAGUGUAGCGGUGAAAUGCGUAGAUAUUAGGAGGAACACCGGUGGCGAAGGCGGCUUUCUGGCCGGAAACUGACGCUGAUGCGCGAAAGCGUGGGGAGC
rnacentral:rRNA from 1 species